rnacentral:rRNA from 1 species
GACGAACGCUGGCGGCGUGCUUAACACAUGCAAGUCAGGGGGGCCCGAGCAAUGGGCAACCGGCGAACGGGUGCGUAACACGUGAGCAACCUACCGAACUGUGGGGGAUAGCCGGCCUAACGGCCGAGUAAUACCGCAUACGCUUUCAGUGAGGCAUUUCAUUGAAAGGAAACCUACGGGACAGAUCGAGGGGCUCGCGGCCUAUCAGCUAGUUGGCGAGGUAACGGCUCACCAAGGCAACGACGGGUAGCUGGUCUGAGAGGAUGGCCAGCCACAUUGGGACUGAGAUACGGCCCAGAUCCUACGGGAGGCAGCAGUGGGGAAUCUUGCGCAAUGGCCUAACGGCUGACGCAGCGACGCCGCGUGUGGGAUGAAGCUCUUCGGAGUGUAAACCACUGUUGCCCGGGACGAAUAGCUCGAUUAGUCGAGCCUGACGGUACCGGGUGAGGAAGCACCGGCUAACUCCGUGCCAGCCG